GUGUAUCAGGAGAGUGGCAGGUGUGUCAGGAGAGUGGCAGGUGUGUCAGGAGAGUGGCAGGUGUGUCAGGAGAGUGGCAGGUGUGUCAGGAGAGUGGCAGGUGUGUCAGGAGAGUGGCAGGUGUGUCAGGAGAGUGGCAGGUGUGUCAGGAGAGUGGCAGGUGUGUCAGGAGAGUGGCAGGUGUGUCAGGAGAGUGGCAGGUGUGUCAGGAGAGUGGCAGGUGUGUCAGGAGAGUGG